CGGCGGCGGCAGGGGAGGGCUGGGGCUGCGUGGCCGGGCGCUGCCGGCUCGGCGUGCGUUGCAGGUUGGAGGCGGAGGCGGGCUGAGCGUGCGUGUGGGGCGCCGAGGGCCGAUGGCUGCCGCAUCCCUGACUCGCACGCAGUGCGCUUCUGCCUUGCUUUCCGUUUGUCGUUAAGAUAAUCCGUGCUGAGGGCUGGGAAAUGCAGUUUCUAAGACGUCCUGUAGCUGGCUUUUAAAACGUGGUGCUGCUUUCCAGUUUCUUCAGCAGCAACGACAGACUUAGCAACGCCCAUCUUCUGCUCAGUAGCCUGCCCGCAGCGCAAGGUUUACUGUCCUAGCAGAUACACCAGGUUAACAGCCUCCUCAUAUUUCCAUGAAUUCUUAUUUUGGGACAACUUUAUUCAUUUGGGACAACUUUAUUCAUGGUAGUGACUACACUUAAUUCUCAGUCUUCCAAAGAAGAGCAUAAUGAACUCUGAAAGGAGGAUUUACCUGAAGAAAAUACUUAUGCCUGUCAACUAACUCACAGCUGCUUCAUGAAGCAGACAUCUUCCUUGCUGACAACGCUGACUUCCGAGGACAGCUGAAACAGACAGGAAGAGAAAAUUGCAACUGGAAGACCAGUUCAAGUAUGGGGAG